rnacentral:rRNA from 1 species
CCUACGGUGUGCAGCAGUCGAGAAUCAUUCACAAUGGGGGAAACCCUGAUGGUGCGACGCCGCGUGGGGGAAUGAAGUUCUUCGGAUUGAAAACCCCUGUCAUGUGGGAGCAAAUUAAAAAGAUAGUACCACAAGAGGAAGAGACGGCUAACUCUGUGCCAGCAGCCGCGGUAAUACAGAGGUCUCAAGCGUUGUUCGGAGUCACUGGGCGUAACGCUUGCGUAGGCUGGUUCGUCAGUCGUGUGUGAAAGUCGCGGUCUCAACCCGCGGACGGAACCGGAUACUGCGAGACUAGAGUAAUGGAGGGGGUACAGGAAGUCUCGGUGUAGCAGUGAAAUGCGUAGAUAUCGAGAGGAACACUCGUGGCGAAGGCGGGUUCCUGGACAUUAACUGACGCUGAGGCACGAAGGCCAGGGGAGCGAAAGGGAUUAGAUACCCCAGUAGUC